rnacentral:tRNA from 1 species
GGGGAUGUAGCUUAAUGGUAGAGUGUUUGCCUCACACGUAUAAAGCACAUCGUCCAACCCCA